rnacentral:rRNA from 1 species
AGACCCGAAACCAGGUGAUCUUGCCAUGGCCAAGUGCUAUUUAAUAAGACUGAACGGGUGUCCGUUGCAAGGGACUCCGAAGAGCUGUGGCAAGGGGUGAAAAGCCAAUCUAACCUGGAGAUAGCUGGUCUUCUGCGAAACCCGUUUUAGCGGGUCGCCCAUUUAUUGAAAUUAAAUUCGUUACUAGACGGUACGGCACUGGAAGCCACGCAGCUUUUGCUGCAUAAUCGGGGGGCUGUCAUGGCUCUAUCGAUGGCUUCUAACCCCGGAAAUGUAUAGUAUACAAUGAUGGGCAAUCAGACGUAUCGUGAUAAGGCGAUUCGUCAAAAGGGCAACAGCCCAGAACAGGUGUGAAGGUCCCUAACAAGCUACUGAGUGAACACAAGGCAGUCCUCUCCAGUGUCUCUCCACAAAGUGGGCUUGGAAGCAGCCACCUUUUAGCGAUAGCGUAACAGCUCAG